GCCUGGGUAGCUCAGUCGGUUGAGCGUCCGAUUUCAGCUCAGGUCAUGAUCUCACAGCUCGUGAGUUCAAGCCCCUCAUCAGGCU
rfam:Felis catus isolate Cinnamon breed Abyssinian chromosome D2, whole genome shotgun sequence.